rnacentral:rRNA from 1 species
UUCCGGUUGAUCCCGCCGGACCUGACUGCUAUCGGAUUGAUACUAAGCCAUGCGAGUCAUUGUAGCAAUACAAGGCAGACGGCUCAGUAACGCGUAGUCAACCUAACCUAUGGACGGGAAUAACCUCGGGAAACUGAGAAUAAUGCCCGAUAGAACACUAUACCUGGAAUGGUUUGUGUUCCAAAUGAUUUAUCGCCGUAGGAUGGGACUGCGGCCUAUCAGUUUGUUGGUGAGGUAAUGGCCCACCAAGACUAUUACAGGUACGGGCUCUGAGAGGAGUAGCCCGGAGAUGGGUACUGAGACACGGACCCAGGCCCUAUGGGGCGCAGCAGACGAGAAAACUUUGCAAUGUGCGAAAGCACGACAAGGUUAAUCCGAGUGGUUUCUGCUAAAGGAACCUUUUGUCGGUCCUAGAAACACCGAUGAAUAAGGGGGUGGGCAAGUUCUGGUGUCAGCCGCCGCGGUAAAAACCAGCACCUCAAGUGGUCAGGAUGACUAUUGGGCCUAAAGCAUCCGUAGCCUGCUUUGUUAGUUUUCGGUUAAAUCUAUACGCUCAACGUAUAGGCUGCCGGGAAUACUGCAAAGCUAGGGAGUGGGAGAGGUAGACGGUACUCGGUAGGAAGGGGUAAAAUCCUUUGAUCUAUUGAUGACCACCUGUGGCGAAGGCGGUCUACCAGAACACGUCCGACGGUGAGGGAUGAAAGCUGGGGGAGCAAACCGGAUUAGAUACCCGGGUAGUCCCAGCCGUAAACCAUGCAAACUCAGUGAUGCAUUGGCUUGUGGCCAAUGCAGUGCUGCAGGGAAGCCGUUAAGUUUGCCGCCUGGGAAGUACGUACGCAAGUAUGAAACUUAAAGGAAUUGGCGGGGGAGCACCACAAGGGGUGAAGCCUGCGGUUCAAUUGGAGUCAACGCCGGAAAUCCCGC